GCGGGUGUGGUGGAAUUGGUAGACGCGCGAGGUUUAGGUCCUCGUGUCCGAAAGGACGUAGGGGUUCAAGUCCCUUCACCCGCACAA
rnacentral:tRNA from 1 species